rnacentral:rRNA from 1 species
GGGGGGGGGGGGGGGGGGGGUGGGGGGGGGGGGGGGGGAGGGGGGGGGUGUGGGGGUGGGGGGGGGUGGGGUGGGGAAGGGGGGGGUGAGUGGUGCGUGAAGUGCGCGUGGAUUUGGCAGGAGUUUGGGGAGAUGGGGGGUAUACGGGGUGGGGGGUCCUUCUGAGUGGUGGGGGGUGGAGAGGUUCGGGGGUUGGGCAUGGACUCGCGGCUUAUCAGCUUGUUGGUGGGGUAGUGGAGUACCGAGGCGGUGACGGGUAGCCGGCCUGAGAGGGGGACCGGCCACAUUGAGACUGAGAUACGGCCCAGACUCCUACGGGAGGCAGCAGUGGGGAAUAUUGCACAAAGGGCGGAAGCCUGAUGCAGCAACGCCGCGUGCUGGAUGACGGCCUUCGGUUUGGAAACCGCUUUCGCCUGUGACGAAUCGUGAGUGACGGUAAUGGGUAAAGAAGCACCGGCUAACUACGUG